CACCCAGAUCUCUAGUCAUGAGAAUUAUUUUUCCUAGUCUCUACUCCUAAUGAAGCAGUUGGUAGUCUCCGCCGGUCAAUUUUCGUCCCAUCAUUUUCGUUUGAUUUUUUUUCAUAGGUUAACCUUCGUACUUCGUAGGUUAUUUUGGUUCCGUCCACCACCUCCCCUCCGCUGGUUUUUCCGUCGCGACAGAACCAAUCCCUCGCUAGCCCUACCUCAUCUCCCGUCUCCAGUCGCAGCCGCCGCCGCACCCCAACCCAACCCCGCCGCCGGCGAUCUCCUCGCCCCCCUGCGCCGCCGCCCCCAACCUUCUAUUCCUCUCCCAAGGGAAGGGAAGGCAAGGGAAGGGAAGGGAAGGGAGAGGGAGUGCCCAGAUCCACGGCGGCAUCAGCGCGCUGUCGUCGACCUAAUCCGCGUCCGUCCUCGAGGGAGGUCGGCCAUGGAGGUCCGACGCGGCCCGGCAGCAGCCAUGGACGGACGGAGACGCCCCAAACCCUACCCGGGACGACGCCUCAACCUUCAAGGACGCGCGUCGGCGACCGCAGAUCUCCGGUGACGGCUAUGUUGAGAUGACUGCCCCGGAUCUGGACGCACAACCUGCAGCUGCAGCAGCAGUUGGACGACCGAACGCACGAGCCCUCCCUCCCUCCCUCAUGGCUCUGCUUCCUCCUACCCUGCCCCCCUCACGUGGGUGUGGUGAGCUUCCUACCCCCUGUGCACAUCUCAUCUAAUCUCAUCAAAUCUAGAUUUCUCUGGACGUAUUUAUUGUUCUGGACACAACUUGGUUCUCUUUAGUUUGAUGUCACUCCUUUCCUGCCGGAGUGAGUCAGUCAAAUACUCCUACUAGCAGUAUAAGAUGUUUGCUGACUUUGAAAAAUGAUAGAUAGUAAAAAAACGCUAAUGAGGUUGUGCAGCGGCGGACGUAUGACUGCUACCUGCACAAGCGGAUGGCCCUGCGAGCCAGACCAACCUCCAGCUGCUGUGGCGUACCACGGGUAGAUUUAUCCCAACGAGGAAACAAGGAGCCCAAAAAUUAAAUUAAAACAAAUCGACGCCAAUAGCGAUGGGGCGCCGACAGACCAUGACGCUUGAAGAUAUGGAGGCGACAAAUCUGUGCUUAUCCCCUCUUGGUGAUAACUCUAGCCGAGCCCCUCUUGGUGACAUUCCUAAUCUUGAGCAUCCUUCCCAAAUGACUCCAGUGCCCGUGCCAGCCUGGUGGUACUUCAGAACAACAUUGUAUUCUCCAAAAAUAUGAAGGCAUGAAAAGAAGUAUUCUACACUUUGGAAAUUCAGAGGUUAAUUGGCUACAUUGGUGCAAUACCUAUCGGCCUGGGGUGGCCUAUCAUGGAGAUCGACGAGGCAGCAGUGCGACUGUGCUCAGCGCAGUUUGAGUGGGGUAGAAGACAGGGCUCGACGACAAGGGCGCCGUGGUCUUCCCACCCACAUCCGGAUGGUACAGCUACGUGGCCGGCAUGUACGGAGAGCCGUGAGCCCUUCUGCAACUACCAUCUGGUUCUGGCUGCCCAGGAUGCCAGACCGGCGGGCGCGCGGGAUUGGCGUCGACACGGCGGCGUGAGAUGUUGACGGGGAGAGAAGGAGGCCGGCGACGCCGUCGCAGGGAGAGGAUUGUGCGGGCGGAGCUGUGGCGUGGAGGAGAGAUGGCGGGGCAACGCCCUGGCGGGGAGAGGAAGGGUCGGGCGACGCCGUCGAUGGGAGGGGCGCCAUCGACUGGAGUGGCUAUGAGGUUGGAGUGGCUAUGAGGGGGAGAGAGUGAGAGGAACUAGCCGAUGUCCUGUGCAUCGAGGAUAAGCAUGCUUUUUUAGGGGAUAAGACUUUUUUUAGGAGGGUGCAAGGCUGUGUGGGUGGAAAAAAUAGUUCGUUGUUCCACUCUUGUUUAUAUAUGUUUAAUAUUAAUAUAUAAAAUAUUUUUAUACAAAAACGCAAAAAAUCUAAACACAGGAAUUUUGCAAUAGAUCCGAACGGAUCCUUUGCCAUCGGAUCUGAAUCCUAUGUUGGUUGUACGUCCGCUCGAACUGCCUUUUUAUUCCUUGUUUGCUUAUGUCCCCACUAAUCCAGUGAUCGCCCACACUCCCGCCAAAUCCCUUGAUUGCCCGCACUCCUGAUUUUUUAAUGAUUGAUGGCGGAAAACAAAGGUGGGGAUUGAGAAAAAUAUGUCGCGAACAAGGGUAAUAGUACCCACGAUCCAUCAGACUGCAAUUGGAGGGCACAACCAUCUCAGCCAACUUAACUUUCAGUUUGUUCACCGCUUGUGCUUUUCGUAAUUGGGAGUCUCCAAGUUUUGAUUCAAUUUAUUAGAAUGAUUGCUACUAUCUGCUUGAUGAAUGGAAUGUGAAGAUUAUAUAAAACAGUAGGAUUUUCAGUUUGUAUGCCCGUCCAGUAACUGAGUUUUUACAGGUUUCAUGAUACAGUAAUUGUGCAAAUGUGUUAUACUUUCUAAUUACUUUUGCAGUGUCAUUUAAUUGUUAAAUUUUCUAUUGGGCAUGCUUCUCAGAUCCAAGGCAUGGAGAACUCCAAGGAGUUUGCUGACAAGCUGUUCGGGAUAUGUCGAGGCAGAGGAACAUUGAGCCGGAUGAAGGCAUUAACAAGGAUCGGCUCAGAGAGGUGGAACAUGAACAUUGAUGGGAUGCUCACAGAAGAUGAGGUCAAGAAGGUGGCUACGCAAAUGAUCACAGAGAAGACUACUGCUGGUUCGUCUUCCCCGCCCUUUAAAUAUGUUCACGUCUGCACAUCAAUCUAUCGAUAUUGUUUGGGAUAUUUUUCCAGGGCCUUUUGAUCGACCAUGCCAUUCAAAAAGCUCUUUAGUGCAGUUUGCAACAACAAAAAUCAGAGGAUUGGUCGUUUGUAAGGGUGGAUAUCUCAGAGGUGGCUGCCACCCGGAUUGGAAUUUAAUUCAAUCUAUUUCCCUUUCUGAAGUUUCAUACUAGAUGUAUGUUCCUGUGAUAUGAUUUGUUUAUGGAGAUGGAGAGAUGUGACUUUCAGAGUGACAUAAAUUCAGAGUCCUUCUAUUGAAAUCUAGAGGAUCGGUUCCAUUUUUGUUGAGGUACUAGAAGAACUUUGUUUUGUGUUAACAAUGGUGUCCUUUUGUGCAUUGAUAUUCCCUGAGUGCCCACUGCUAUGUUGUAGUUCCUUUUCCAACCAAGUUAUUGUUGUAUUCAUUUUGAUAGAACCGAUA